AGCUGGAAGGUACCAACUCAAAUUUUGCUGUAGGAACAUGCACUUAUGGCAUUACAAAUGCUUUAAAUUUAAAUAUCUCAGAGUCAGAACAACCCCUAAAUCAAACUAAAAGUCGAAAGAGAAGAGAUGUCCUCCCUUCAAUUCAAUGUGGGUCUAGUGGUGUCAAAUGUCGUUUAAUAGAAUGCAAAAUUAAUUUUUUGCAGAAAUCUGAUUCUGUUACCGUAACAGUUAUUUCAACACUGGUUGAAGCUACUUUUGACAAGACAAUAAAAGAAGGCAGAAAAAUAAGUGCAUACACAAAGUUUACUACAGAUGCUGUUGCUGCUGCAUCCACUACACCUCAAGAUUUUGCAACGGUU
rnacentral:lncRNA from 1 species